CGCAUUACGCCGCGUGAGUGAGGAAGGACUUCGGUCUGUAAAGCUCUGUUAAUGUGGAAAAAUGCUUGCUGGUCUAAUAGGCCAGUAAGUUGAUGGUACACAUAGAGGAAGCACCGGCUAACUUCGUGCCAGCAGCCGCGGUAAUACGAAGGGUGCAAGCGUUGUUCGGAUUUAUUGGGCGUAAAGCGCACGUAGGUGGACUUGUAAGUCAGAUGUGAAAUCUCGGGGCUCAACCUCGAAACUGCGUCUGAAACUGCAAGUCUAGAAUCUUGGAGGGGGCAGGGGAAUUUCACAUGUAGGGGUAAAAUCCGUAGAUAUGUGAAGGAACACCAGAGGCGAAGGCGCCUGCCUGGACAAGUAUUGACACUGAGGUGCGAAAGCGUGGGGAUCAAACAGGAUUAGAUACCCUGGUAGUCCACGCUGUAAACGAUGAACACUAGAUAUUGGAGGAUUUGACCCCUUCAGUGUCGUAGCUAACGCGUUAAGUGUUCCGCCUGGGAAGUACGGUCGCAAGACUAAAACUCAAAGGAAUUGACGGGGGCCCGCACAAGCGGUGGAUUAUGUGGUUUAAUUCGAAGCAACGCGCAGAACCUUACCUAGGCUUGANAUCCUACGAACCUGGCUUUAACGCUGGGGUGUCCUU
rnacentral:rRNA from 1 species